UUCCCUAACAACAAUACAACCCCAAGUACAUUCCCUAGCAACAGUACAAACCCAAGUGCACCCCUUGCCAAUAGUACAACUGUAAGCUCAUUUCUUAAUCAUUCAAGUGCAGUUCCCUCCACUGGGACAAACAAUGGAGAUUUCAAUUCUACAAUGCCAAGUACAGACAUGCCAACCACUACAGGUGCUACAACAAGCUCAAUUACAACAAACCACUCAAUUACAACAUUAAACUACUCAACUGCAACAGUGAAGUACUCAGCUACAACUGAAUCUUUUUCAAAUGUGACAAUAUUUGACAAUACAACUAGUAUGUAUAAUGCCACAACUAUUGUACCAACUAAUAGUACAAUGCUACUUGGUAACAUUACAACAAUAAGCUAUUAUGCUACAACCCCACCGAGUAAUGAAACAACAACACCGAGUUAUGUUACAACAUCACCAAGUAAUGUUACAACAAGUUAUGCAAUAUCACUACCAAGUAAUGUUACAACACUAUUAAGUAAUGUAACAACAGUACAGAGUGAUGUCACAACAACACCAAGUAAUGUUACAGUUCCACCUAAUAAUAUAACAACACUCAAGAGCAAUUUUACAACACCCAGUAAUGUUACAACACCACCGAGUAAUGUUACAGUUCCACCUAAUAAUAUAACAACACUCAAGAGCAAUUUUACAACACCCAGUAAUGUUACAACACCACCGAGUAAUUUCACAACAUCGCAACCAGGAUUUAUAAUCACUACUGCGCAGUUGAUGAAUACAACAGUUUUUAAUACUACAAGUGUGGAAAUUACAACACAAGCUGUUAAUGUAACAUUGGAAAUUACAACUCCAGUUCUGAAUGCUACUUCAUCAGAGAACAAUACUCAACUGGAAACAACAACAUCUAAGUUGGAAAAUACAACAUAUUAUCCAUAUAUAAAUACAACAGUUUUACCAGUGAAUAUCACUACUCAAAGUAUGAAUGUUACAAAUGGUACAAUAAUAAAGGAAUCUACAACACUUGAUUUUACAACAAUUCCUAAUACAACAUUGAUAGUGACUACAACAGUUUUGGAAAAUACAACAUUACCAAUGGUAAUUACAACAAAAACCCAGUCAGAGGAAUCUACAAGUGCUGUACCAACAACAGAAAUAACAACUGAGAAGGCAACUACAACAACUGAGAAGGCAAUUACAACUAAAACCCCAACUACAACAACCAGACAACCUACAACACAGAGUACAACAAUGGAAAUUACAACACACCAGGAAACAACAACACCUGUAAUCACAACCCCUACAACACCAACGGAGACAACAACUAUUACAACAAAACCAAAUGUUACAACAUCAACCACAACAGCUGUGCCAAAUACUUCAACAGUAACACCUGCACCAGUUACUACAUCAACAUCUGUUCCUGAUACAACAUCAACAGCUGUAGGUGCUAAUACAACAGCAACAUCUGUAUCUAAUACAACUGCAUCAAGUAAUGGAUCUAAUACAGAACUACCAUUAUGGAAACAGCAAGUGUUUGUGAACUACACAGAUUGGGCUGGAACAUAUAUCUACCAAGCCAAGCCAUACAGAUUCACUCUCCAUGUGCAGGGGAGUGAAACUGCAGACUAUGAUACAGAUGGGGACAUUCAUGCUCGUUUUAAUGACGGAGAAGCAGUUCUGGAAUUGAGAGGAAGUUGGACACCUAAUCAGACCCCACUAGAGAGCAUGCCAAAGCCUUUAACAGGUCAACAAUUUCCUUCUAAGCUGGUCUUCACAGUCAAGAAAGUUGUUACUCCAAGCGAGAAAAUCAAGAGUGUUUAUUGGUCAAUUAUUGGUGAUGUCAUCACGCAAGACGGGAACUUGACAUAUGCAGGAAUUGUCCAGACUAAUACAACUGGCUUUGGCAACCUUACUAUGCAGCCUUAUACAGAUGAGCCAGUAACACCUCUGCCUUCAAGUACUAAGGACUCAAAUAGAACUCUAACAAUCGUACUUGCAGUCACAAUUCCCAUAAUCAUUGUCUUGCUCAUUUGCAUAAUUAUCGUCUGCUUAAUGCGAAAAAGAGGCUAUUGUAUCCGGGCACCAAAAGAGCGUCAAACAAUAGGAUUUGAAAAUCCUGUGUAUGAAUUCGCAAAUGCAAGUGAAAUGAAUCAUUCACACCCUUUGUGGUAGUCUUGUAAGUUUCUCCCUUAGGAGUCAAAGUGACCUCAACAAUAGCUGGAUCAAGAGACAUUUUCAGUAAAUUCCUGCCAUCUUUAGGUGAACCAAAGAAACUAAGUAAUAUAAUAUCAAAAGGAUUCAUGACGUUUUAAGAUGCAAAUAGUAGUUUAAAAAAUAACUACAUAAUGAUAGUUUCCUGUACAUUUGUAUCUAUGACAUCAUGUCCAAUAGGUGGCAGGAUUUACUGGAAUGGUCUAUUUCAAUAAAAAUGAUGGCACUGAUCAUAAGAGUAUGCCACAACAGUCCAACCAGAGAUUUUAGCACAAAAUUAGAGAAACAUCAAAAGAAAUGGUCAUUAUCUACCAUUUAUUUAAUUUACUUAUUUUAUAAUUAUAGUUCAAUAUGUGUCGCCAAAUUAUUGUAAAUGUUGAAUCUGUAAUGUGCAUGUAGAUACAGGUGCCUUAUUUGGGAGCUUUUAACAUUUUUUUGUACAAAAUGUAUUUUUGUAAUUUUGUCCUCGGUUUCCCAAAGAUAGUUGAGUUUUGUCAGAACUAAAUUGCAAUUGAUGAAGUUAAGUAAUGUCUUUCCCAUAAACUUAACAAAAAAAAAAGUUUCAUCUACAUUUGGAUAUGGGUCCUACCUGUACAUGUAAAUACACAUGUAUAUUUUCAAGAUAGGUCUGAAACAUUGUAAUAUAUUGAUAUUAUAUGAAUUACCGGUGAUAUUAUUUUGUGGGGGGUCUAUGGAGAUAAGGUACAAGGUGUACACGAUUCAGGGAAUUCUAAUAGCCCCCAUGGAAGUGAUAUUCUUAUGGGAAAACUAUGGUUAUUUUAAGUAAAAUGUAGGAAUAAGCAGUUCAUUCAAAUUUUUACAAAGAAAUACAGUGAAAAUAACAUGAACAGACGGACAUUGCAAACAAAACUCACUUUAACAUGAGUCUCAAUUUCAGCUGCAUGUAUCAAAGGUCUCAGUAACAACUAUCUGAAUUACAGCUUCAUGUAUUUAUAUCUUAGUUACGCAUGAUACAGCUGUAAAUAAUAUUAAUCUCAGUAACAUCUGAAUAUGUUUUUGUCUCAAUAAUAGCUGCAUUUACUUGCAUUCUCCUUAACAGCUGCAUGUAGUUUCUGUCUGAAGUACAUGUAGUUUGAUCACAGCUACAUCUUGGUACAGCCUCCAUAAAAGCUGCAUCUAGGUACAGUCUCAGUGAAAACUUCAUGUAGUUCAGGCUCAGCUGAAUUUAGGUAUAGCCUCAUUGAUAGCUGCAUUUAAGUACAGUAUCAGUGAUAGCUGCAUUAAGCUACAGCCUUAUUGAUAGCUACAUUUAGGUACAGCCUCAGUAGUACCUGCAUCUAGGUACAGCCUCAGUGCUGCACUGAAAGUUGCAUCUAGGUACAGCCUCAGUAGUAGCUGCAUUUAGAUACAGCCUUAUUGAUAGCUGCAUUAAGCUACAGCCUUAUUGAUAGCUGCAUCUAGGUACAGCCUCAGUG
rnacentral:misc_RNA from 1 species